rnacentral:rRNA from 1 species
AUUGAACGCUGGCGGCAGGCCUAACACAUGCAAGUCGAGCGGAUGACGGGAGCUUGCUCCUUGAUUCAGCGGCGGACGGGUGAGUAAUGCCUAGGAAUCUGCCUGGUAGUGGGGGACAACUGUUCGAAAGGAACGCUAAUACCGCAUACGUCCUACGGGAGAAAGCAGGGGACCUUCGGGCCUCGCGCUAUCAGAUGAGCCUAGGUCGGAUUAGCUAGUUGGUGGGGUAAUGGCUCACCAAGGCGACGAUCCGCAACUGGUCUGAGAGGAUGAUCGGUCACACUGGAACUGAGACACGGUCCAGACUCCUACGGGAGGCAGCAGUGGGGAAUAUUGGACAAUGGGCGAAAGCCUGAUCCAGCCAUGCCGCGUGUGUGAAGAAGGUCUUCGGAUUGUAAAGCACUUUAAGUUGGGAGGAAGGGCAGUAAGUUAAUACCUUGCUGUUUUGACGUUACCGACAGAAUAAGCACCGGCUAACUCUGUGCCAGCCGCCGCCGUAAAAC